rnacentral:rRNA from 1 species
CAGAGGGCGCGAGCGUUGUCCGGAAUCACUGGGCGUAAAGGGCGCGUAGGUGGCAGCAUAAGGCCGUGGUGAAAGCCCGGAGCUCAACUCCGGAUCUGCCGCGGCGACUGUGCAGCUUGGGCACUGUAGAGGCAGAUGGAAUUCCGGGUGUAGCGGUGGAAUGCGUAGAGAUCCGGAAGAACACCGGUGGCGAAGGCGAUCUGCUGGGCAGUGGACCGCAAGGUCCAAUAGCCGACACUGAGGCGCGACAGCGUGGGGAGCAAACAGGAUUAGAUACCCUGGUAGUCCACGCCGUAAACGAUGGGCACUAGGUGCUCCGGGGAGCGACCCUUGGAGUACCGGCGCUAACGCAUGAAGUGCCCCGCCUGGGGAGUACGGCCGCAAGGCUG